rnacentral:misc_RNA from 1 species
GGAGAGAUACUUCUACAUCUUUUAUAUUCUCACAUCAUGUACUAAUCCAUAUCCAAUACAACAAAAGAAGAACAGUGUUCUUUCAACUAUUCAUAAAGAACCACACUUUCAAUAGAAUAGAAACGCACAAGUAAACAAGUAACUGAUUGCUUCUGCUUUGAACAUACAUCUCUCCCUAUACUUAACGGGAACACAGUAAACAAGAACUUCCUCUGCAUUCUAACCAAGCAAAGAAGGGCCAUGCCUUGGAGACCAAAAAGGAUUUUGGUCUUGGAAAGAGGAUGACUCAGAUCUCAGCUUAUUUCCAUUGCUUUCACUGCCAAAAUCAUGGGAGAAAGGAUUAUUAUUUCCAAAGCACUUGUUACUGCUGCUGUAAGCAAAGAGAUUUGGGUGAAAAUUCUCAUGAUCAUCAUUGUCAUC